rnacentral:tRNA from 1 species
GGCGAGGUGGCCGAGUGGUUAAGGCGAUGGGCUGCUAAUCUAUUGGGCUGUGCCAUAUGGGUUUGAGUCCCACCCUCGUCG